rnacentral:rRNA from 1 species
CUGGCGGCAGGCCUAACACAUGCAAGUCGAGCGGCAGCGGAAAGUAGCUUGCUACUUUGCCGGCGAGCGGCGGACGGGUGAGUAAUGUCUGGGAAACUGCCUGAUGGAGGGGGAUAACUACUGGAAACGGUAGCUAAUACCGCAUGACCUCGCAAGAGCAAAGUGGGGGACCUUCGGGCCUCACGCCAUCGGAUGUGCCCAGAUGGGAUUAGCUAGUAGGUGGGGUAAUGGCUCACCUAGGCGACGAUCCCUAGCUGGUCUGAGAGGAUGACCAGCCACACUGGAACUGAGACACGGUCCAGACUCCUACGGGAGGCAGCAGUGGGGAAUAUUGCACAAUGGGCGCAAGCCUGAUGCAGCCAUGCCGCGUGUGUGAAGAAGGCCUUCGGGUUGUAAAGCACUUUCAGCGAGGAGGAAGGCAGUCGUGUUAAUAGCACGAUUGAUUGACGUUACUCGCAGAAGA